rnacentral:rRNA from 1 species
UGGGGAAUUUUGGACAAUGGGGGCAACCCUGAUCCAGCCAUGCCGCGUGAGUGAUGAAGGCCUUCGGGUUGUAAAGCUCUUUUGGCGGGGACGAUGAUGACGGUACCCGCAGAAUAAGCCCCGGCUAACUUCGUGCCAGCAGCCGCGGUAAGACGAAGGGGGCUAGCGUUGUUCGGAAUUACUGGGCGUAAAGCGAGUGUAGGCGGUUGCCGUAGUCAGGUGUGAAAGCCUUGAGCUCAACUCAAGAAAUGCACUUGAUACUGGGUGACUAGAGGACCGGAGAGGAUAGUGGAAUUCCCAGUGUAGUGGUGAAAUACGUAGAGAUUGGGAAGAACACCAGUGGCGAAGGCGGCUAUCUGGACGGUUACUGACGCUAAGACUCGAAAGCGUGGGGAGCAAACAGGAUUAGAUACCCUGGUAGUCCACGCCGUAAACGAUGGGUGCUAGACGUUGGCGAGCUUGCUCGUCAGUGUCGCAGCUAACGCGUUAAGCACCCCGCCUGGGGAGUACGGCCGCAAGGUUGAAACUCAAAUGAAUUGACGGGG